CCUCCCUAUCUAACACUAGGACCUCCCAGUGUCCGUGCAGAGUUCUAGCUCAAAAAGGGGACAAACUAUCUUGCUCUCUUCCCUCCCUGCUGGAUUGUGUUCCUUCUGGGGCCCUAAGAGAAGCAGACAGU
rnacentral:snoRNA from 1 species